UACAGAGGGUGCGAGCGUUAAUCGGAAUUACUGGGCGUACAGCGUGCGUAGACGGCUAUCUAAGUCGGGUGUGAAAGCCCCGGGCUCAACCUGGGAAUUGCAUUCGAGACUGAAUAGCUAGGGUGCGGUAGAGGGAAGCGGAAUUUCCGGUGUAGCGGUGAAAUGCGUAGAUAUCGGAAGGAACAUCAGUGGCGAAAGCGGCUUCCUGGACCAGCACCGACGUUCAGGCACGAAAGCGUGGGGAGCAAACAGG
rnacentral:rRNA from 1 species